rnacentral:rRNA from 1 species
UACGGAGGGGGCUAGCGUUAUUCGGAAUUAUUGGGCGUAAAGCGCGCGCAGGCGGUCCUUUAAGUCUGAUGUGAAAGCCCUCGGCUCAACCGAGGAAGGUCAUUGGAAACUGGAGGACUUGAGUGCAGAAGAGGAAAGUGGAAUUCCAAGUGUAGCGGUGAAAUGCGUAGAGAUUUGGAGGAACACCAGUGGCGAAGGCGACUUUCUGGUCUGUAACUGACGCUGAGGCGCGAAAGCGUGGGGAGCAAACAGG